rnacentral:lncRNA from 1 species
CUUGGCCCUUGGCCGCCUACUCCUACCGCCCCGGCCUUGGGCGGCCCUGGGCCUGCUGCGGGCGCGGCGCUGCCCGACCAGAGCUUCCUGUGGAACGUCUUCCAGAGCUGCCACCUGGCACCGCCCCGGCACCUCCCGCCUCCCCCGCAGCUGCCCCGGACCCGUGUCCCGACCCCCGCGGCCAACCCCGUUCCCUGCCGGUUGCCCCGCGGCCUCCCCCGUCACCUGCCGGGUCCCCAGCGGCCUCCCCCGUCCCCUGCCCCGACCUCCGCCGUCUCCCCCGCCCCUGCCCGGACCCCCGCGGGCGCCCCCGAACCCUACCCCGACCGACGCGGCCGCCCCCAUCCCCUGCCCCGACCCCCGCGGCCGCCCCCAUCCCCUUCCGGGUCCCCCGCGGUCUCCCCCGUCCGCUGCCCGGUCUCCUGGGGCCGCCCCUGCCUCCUGCCCGGUCCCUGUCCUGUGCGUCGGGCCCUUCCCAAGGUGCAGAGGGCGCCACUGCAGACCCGAGGUCGCGGCCACCGGCUCCUGGGCCAGGCCCUGUUUCUCGCCUCGAGCCGUCGGGGGAGGGUCUCCAGGGUGCUUGUUUGGGGAAAGCGGAAACAGACUGUCUGGGCCGCUGUUAAAAUGUCAGCAGCCAAGGAAGAAGCAGCGACCUGGCGUCUGCUCGGGCCAGGUGACCUUUAUGGCGGCGCCUUCUGUCCCUGGUCGCUUUUCCACUGAAUGAAUGACCGAAACUGUAGUAACUCAUGGCCAGGGAAUGGCUUAGUUAUCUGAGGGAAUCUUGUCUUGUCUGUGAAAAAGGGAAACUGGUGCAAAUGGGAAUUCAGACAGGUCAGGAGGGGAAGGAAGGGAAGGAUUGAGGUGGGAAAAGAGAGAGAAAGAUGAUUGGCCUCUUAGGGGAAGAACACACUUGGACGUGGCUCCUGGGGCACUUCCUUGAUUCCGCUGUACUCGUCAGCGGGACCGGAGAGGCGGAGGUUCCAGGAGGGAGCCUUCCAGAGUCGGUGCAGGGUUGACAGGAGACGUUUGUUUUGCUUUUCCUGAACUUUCGAUCGCCAGCUUGUUUGGUCUUCUUGAUGUUAUAGGGUUGAUAGAGAGGAGUGGAGUGAUAUCGGACACCCAGCUUCGGCAAGCUCUCUCCAAGGGUGAGUGGGCCAGUGGGACCUGGGUCUCCGGACCAAGAAGCCGCGAGCCUGCCCUGCUCACAGUGGAUAACUUUCUUUCUGAAGUUGAUUUUCCAAGGACAAAGGAAUCAUUAGGGCAAAUUAUUAUUACUGCUUCAUGGUGGAGAUGCUUCUGGUUUAUUCUGUGGCUACCGCUGUUACUGCUUGGAGUGCCUCACCGAGCCAGCUAACAACGGCGUGCGUGAGCACAGGGAAAGGCUUCUUGAGAAAUGAAAACUAGGUUGUAGGUUUAGGAGGGGAAUAGGAAGGUUAGCUCUGUCCAGCCGAAAGCCUUUUGGUAAGUUGGGGGUCCUUGAAUUUCCUGGGUGACUGCAUCUUGGUGACUUCUCUGAAUAGACCUUCGAGGGCACUGGGGGGUGAUUGUUGGAGGGCUUGGGGAGCUCAGGCAGCACUUGUGUGGGAACGUGGCUGUUACAGGAACUGCAGAAACUGGGACUGGGUUCCUGGGGAAAGGAUUGGGGGUGUUGGAGGCGCUGGCAGGGGAGUUAUGGGGAGGCGUUCUUAUCAGUGUGCGAAUAUUGGGCGUUCAGGCAGCGGGAAAUCCGGGUCCUUGCGUGUUGUGAGCUCCCUGGAGUUACGUUCUUGCCAGUUUCAGCUCAAUUGAUCCCCCUCCCCUGAGCUAUCAUUGGAUACAUUUUACUUCAUUGAACACCUGACUGCUGCUUUUUCUGUAAUCCCUCAGGGGCAGUCAUCUUUUCUGAUUCUGUGUGUAGUUUGCCUUUCCAGAUCCGUGCCAUUUAAGCUAGAAAAGGGGUCAGUUUUGAGAUGUUGUGAAAAUGUUGAAAGGCUCCUCGUUAUUAGUGGGAAGUAUCUGAUGUUGCCAGAGACUGAACUGGGGCGCGGGGAGCACUACGGCUGCUAGACACUGCCUCACUGCGCUGUGGGUGGGGGAGGUGCUGGAUUCAGUCUUACUGCCUAAUGAUUUGUGAGGAUUUGUGUUUUCAGAGUAACAUGUUUACCUUAUGUUAUCAGUUCCUAAUAUGUGACGUAUGGGCCACAGAUGCUGGUGUAUUAUUUCACAUGCAUUUAUAUAGAUUGUUUUCAGGGAAUUCAGAAAUUCUGUUAUCUCUACACUAGUGAUUGUGCUUUCUUGAUUUUUCUCUUUUCAUUAUUCUUAAAUCCUCCCUUUUUUAAUUUGCAUCUCAGUUCGUUUAUACUCGGGAAGUGCAAGACAUGGCUACUAGAAAGAGAUGUCAAGAGAACCGGAAUCCAGUAGGCUACAAUUUGGCAAAUCUUAGCUUAAAACUUCCUAAAUGUUGACCACAGUGGAUGCAAAUGGCUCUGUGCAUCGUCUGUUCAAUAUGGUCAGGUGACCACCCAGGUUCACGUGGUUUGUCACCAGGGUGACACGAGCCACACGGAGUGCCCUCCUCAGAGGCCAUGUCUCAGAGACGUUUAUUUUGAGUGGUUUUCCAGCGAGUGAUGCAAGAUUUAUGAUCCAUUUUAACAGCUGCUUUUUAUGCAUUUGCUCAAAUUUUUAGAUUUUAAGUUUAGUUUUAGGUUUUCUGUUAAACUUGCUCAACUAGGAGUGGUGGUCAAAUACUGGACCUCAUUAGCAUGGUAGCCUGCCCUCCUUGGCAGGCUCCACUGGAGUGCCUUGGGGCCUGCCUGGAUUCCAGUCCUGGCUCUACCAGUUUUGUGUCCUCGCCGUUACUGGGAGGGAGUAUUGAGGAAAUGCAUGCGAGGUGCUUCCGUGAUUCCUGGCACAGAGCAAGUGCUCAGUAAUUGUCAGCUGUGAGUAUUAGUAGUAGCUAAUACACUACUACUAUUCUUGGCUAACAAGCCAGCUCAAAGCUUUGAUAGUUUUCCAUUACCUGAUGAUGGUGAUGAUGGUUUCCACUUCCUGAACACUCACACCCCUGGGCUAGGCACUUAACCCAAAUCCAAGGUCAGCGUUAUUGUUUGGGGGUGGGGGAGACACCUCCUGCUCUGACUCGUGUGUUUGGGUUCCCGUAUUUUCACCAGAGGGUGUUAGUUCUGCCCAAGUUCAGCUGGUCCUCAAAGUGUAUAUAGCUCUUUAACCAUCAGCAAGUGUCAGUCAGAACAUAAUCUUGAUUUCAGCUGCUACUAAAUAUCUACCAGGAGCCUGCUUGAGAGAGAGAAUUGCCUGACAGGUGCUGAGUCCACCAUUCCUGAGACACUUUGAAAUCAGUGUCUGACUUAACCCAAGCUGUGUAUGGGGACCCUCUCACCGUGGUCCCAAUGGAGUCGCUUUUGUUAGGCGCCCCCCUUUACCUUGGGCUCUGAGCUUCCUCUGCCUUUCAUCUCUGCAGGAUGAAGCCCCACCCGCUGUACAGGAUGCAAAGCCCUCCUCUAUAAAGUGCGUGCGGGGCCAGAUGCAGUGGCUCACGUCUGACCUCCCAACACUUUGGGAGGCCGAGGCAGGGGCAUCGUUUGAGACCAGCCUGGACAACAUUGUGAGACCCUGUUCCUUGAAUUGCCCUGGGAGAUUUCCUCAGCUUGUACUGGAGGUGUGUGGCCCCAUGAAGCCCAUAGUCACCGUUCACCCUGAGAGACGCUGGCUUUGGGGCUCACAUGCCUGCUGCGGGGCAGCCCCAGGAGAUGGCCACCCUGUUUCUCCUGGAGCUGGAGCUGCGCGUGUUCUCAGCAACUGUGGUGGCUGUCCUGUUUUGUUUGCAUCUUAUAAACCUUUACCUGAUUACAUUUUCCUCUUCAAUUUAGCUGCUAGAAAACUUAAAGUCAGAUUGGUGGCUCACCAGUAAUGAGAGUUUAGAGUAGAGGUAAACUUUAUGACAUAGUCUUAGACUCUUCACUUUCUCCUCAGCCAACAUGAUUCACAUUUACUUUAUUUUGCUGUACUGUGAGUGUCUUUGUGUUUCCUGAAUUCCUUCUGGAAUAAGGCAGGUUGUUAGUAAGCACAGGUUUCUGGUCCAUCUCAUAGCCUCAGGCAGUGGGCGGUGCUGUCCGUGCUCCCUUUCUGGGUUACCUGUGGUAGCUCUGAAGUUGCAGGGCUGCGAUUUGAAGCCUGAUUUAGUACACCGUGUUUCUGUUGUGUUCUGUGGUGGUUUGCUCCUCACAUGUGAGCAUUCACCCUGUGGCCCUGUGUUUUUCCACCACACCUCUGCCUGGUGGCAUCCUACUGGAUGUCUCAGCCGAGCCACUCUGUUCUGAAGACGCCCUUGUCCUCCACCCCUUUGCUUUGGGCUCUGAGCUUCUUCUGCCUUUCAUCUCUGUAGGAUGAAGCCCCACCCGCCCUUCAGGAUGCCAGCCUUGGCAACAUUGUGAGACCCUGUUUCUACAAAAAGUAAACGUGUAGUGGUGCACGCCUGUAGUUCUAGCUACUUGGGAGGCUGAGAUGGGAAGAUCACUUCAGCCUGGGAGGUUGAGGCUGCAUUGAGCUGAGAUCAAGCCACGGCACUCCAGCCUGGGAGACAGAGCGAAACCCCAUCUCAAAAAAACAAAGAAAGUGGAUGCACGCUGCUCCUGCCAUUGGAUCAUCGCAGCAUUUUUCUUUUCUCUGAUAUGCGCCUUUUUCCUCAUCGUGGGGGCUCAUGUUUUUGUACUUUCCUCUCGCUACUAGAUUGUGAGCUGCGUGAAGGAAGGUUCAUAGUUGUGUUGUAUGUACAGGCACACAAAAUUUGUCCUUGGAUAGACACAUAUCAAUCCGCUUCCUUCUCCUCUCUGAAGUUCUUUAUUUAAAAAAAAAAAUUAGAGAUGGAGUCUCACUGUCUUGCCCAGGCUGGUCUCAAACUCCUAGGCUCAAGCGAUCCUCCCGCCUCUACUAAUAUGAAUUAUUAGCCUAUACUAAUAUGAAUUCCUAUACUAAUAUGAUUGAAAUUAGUUUGACUUGUAUAAUAAUUGUUCUCCCAGAUUGGCCUUCUGUUUUGAUAGUAGAACUAAAUUAUUAGGCUAUUUCAAGAAAUUAAUAUAUUACUGGUAGAAAAACUGAAGCUACAAAAUGGCCUGGUUUCUCACUUCAGUUAAAUUUGUGCUUCUGAGUGCUUGUAUUGUAGGUGAAACCGCACUGAGAAGGUAUUUGUGGCCCGUAUGCUGAUUGAUUGAUGAGACUUCUUUGCACAGGAGAGCUGCUAAAAAUUACUGCGGUGAACAGGUAUGAAGAAGACUGUUCUCUGCCCUUCUUUUUGCAAUAAAAUGUUACAAACUAUCUUGAGAUUGAUCCCUUUUCGGGUGUUUGGGUUUUUUUUAACAUUCACAUAUUUCUUGGAAUUAUAAGAAAUUAACUUUGUGCUUCUGAAGUGGGUUUCCCUUAAUAUAACACUGAUGUAUUUGUAAGGGGCAUUUUUAAAGUUGUACUUUAAAAAAUAAUAAUUCUUACAUUCGUUUGAAGGUUUUUUGUUUGUUUGUUUGUUUGUUUUUGAGAUGAAGGCUUGCCCUGUCACCCAGGCUGGAGUGCAGUGGCAUUGAUCUUGGCUCACUGCAACCUCUGCAUCUGGAGUUCAAGCAAUUCUCCUGCCUCAGCCUCCUGAGUAGCUGGGACUACAGGC